AGGAUUAAAACAGAGAAAGGAGGCAAAGGGGGUGCAAGGAAUCUUGGACUGCCUUGAAUCCUGAGUUGUGUCCAAUCCUUCCUUGAAGGACAACAUGGCCGAAGCCGAAAAGGAACAAGAGCUGAGAAUUCUUCUCAUCGGCAAAACCGGAACCGGGAAGAGCUCCACAGGAAACACCAUCUUGGGAGAUAAAGUGUUCGAUAGCGCUGCUGCACCUGGAUCAGUCACCAAGCUUUGUGAAAAACGAAAAGCCGUCUUCGAAGGGAGGAAGAUGGUUGUUGUUGAUACGCCUUGGUUUUUUGACACUAAAAGAAAGAAAGUUUAUAGCUGGAAAGAUAUUGAGACGUGUGUUGGUCUUCUGCACCCUGGGCCCCAUGCGAUUCUAGUGGUUAUCAGAAUCAGCAAGAUGACAGGAGAGGAGCAAGAUGCUAUUCGGGAGGUUAAGAAGUUUUUUAGCAUUGAAGGUAAACAUUUUCUGAUCCUUUUAUUCACCCAUAAAGAUGCUUUAGAUCUUGAUGGUAUAACUCUAAAAGGUUUCUUAGCAAAUGCAGAGGGUCACCUGAAGGAUCUAAUGGGCAUGGCUGCAAACCGAUUCAUUGCUUUCAACAAUAAUGCUGAAGAAGCAGAAAGGAUAUGUCAGGUUCAGGAACUGAUUAAAAAAAUAGAUGACAUGGUGGUACUGAAUGGUACAAAGCCAUAUUACAGGAUGGAACUGUUCAAGAAGGACAGCUCAUGGUGUAGUAUAAUAUAAUAUAAGCAAGGAUGCAAAUAUGUUUUCCAAUGAACCCUAAUUUCUAUUCUGAUUUGAGGGACAAAAUGUGACUCCCAUAAGAAAUGAAAUCCUGCAUCUUUUCUCCUCCUCCCACAGUUCUUUUCACCCCACGCAAGGACCAUAUUCCUGACCAUGUCAACUGUAGCCUGUUUUUCUCCUGUGUAUAAUUGCUCCUUUGGCCUAUUAAGUAGGGCUGUGCUCUGCUUCUCUUCGGAUCGGAGAAGCAGAAGCGGAUCAGGGUGCUUUGCCUCCCCUUAAAGCGAAGGUGAAGAGGAUCGGGGGGCAGCGGAGCGUCGCAGAGCGGAUCGAGAUGAAGGCGGAUCCUUCACCUCGAUCCGGAGCUCCGAAAAAAGGUAA